AUUGAACGCUGGCGGCAGGCCUAACACAUGCAAGUCGAGCGGAAGAAGGGUGCUUGCUUCUGGUUUCAGCGGCGGACGGGUGAGUGAUGCCUGGGAAUCUCCCUGGCAGUGGUUUAUAACGUCUUGAAGCGGGCGCUAAUACCGCAUAAGUCCAGAGGGAGAAGGGGGGGGAGCUUCGGACCUUACGGUCUCAGGUGAGUGUAGGCCGGAGUAGCUAGUUGGUGGGGUAAAGGCCUACCAAGGCGACGAUCCGUAACUGGUCUGAGAGGAGGAUCAGUCACACUGGAACUGAGACACGGUCCAGACUCCUACGGGAGGCAGCAGUGGGGAAUAUUGGACAAUGGGCGAAAGCCUGAUCCAGCCAUGCCGCGUGUGUGAAGAAGGUCUUCGGAUUGUAAAGCACUUUUUGUGGGGAGGAACGGCAGUAAGUUAAUACCUUGCUGUUUUGACGUUACCAACAGAAUAAGCACCGGCUAACUUCGUG
rnacentral:rRNA from 1 species